GAUUCCGUAGCUCAGCCGGUAGAGCAUCUCCCUUUUAAGGAGAGGGCCCUGGGUUCGAAUCCCAGCGGGAUCA
rnacentral:tRNA from 1 species